rnacentral:rRNA from 1 species
AUUGAACGCUGGCGGCAGGCUCAACACAUGCAAGUCGAGCGGAGAUGAGGUGCUUGCACCUUAUCUUAGCGGCGGACGGGUGAGUAAUGCUUAGGAAUCUGCCUAUUAGUGGGGGACAACAUUCCGAAAGGAAUGCUAAUACCGCAUACGCCCCACGGGGGAAAGCAGGGGAUCUUCGGACCUUGCGCUAAUAGAUGAGCCUAAGUCGGAUUAGCUAGUUGGUGGGGUAAAGGCCUACCAAGGCGACGAUCUGUAGCGGGUCUGAGAGGAUGAUCCGCCACACUGGGACUGAGACACGGCCCAGACUCCUACGGGAGGCAGCAGUGGGGAAUAUUGGACAAUGGGCGGAAGCCUGAUCCAGCCAUGCCGCGUGUGUGAAGAAGGCCUUUUGGUUGUAAAGCACUUUAAGCGAGGAGGAGGCUACCUGGAUUAAUACUCUAGGAUAGUGGACGUUACUCGCAGAAUAAACACCGGCUAACUCUGUGCCAGCCGCCGCAGUAACAC